UAAGUAAAAAGGAAAAUGAUAAAAAAUAACUCUGUGGGGUCACUUUUGAGAGUGUGGAUUAUAAGUAAUCCCCAUCACCUCCGGCUGAUCCUGUUCGUCUUCUUCGGCAACGACCCGCGGAGAGAGGGAAGAGAGAGGGUGUGUGUGUGUGGAGAGGCGCUCACACCAUCGUCGUGCUCUCUGCUCCGCGGGAGUUUCUGCCGUUUGGCGGCUCUCGUUUCUUGUCCGGGGAUAUCGAGAGAGCGAGAGAGAGAGAGAGAUGAAGUACGUGCUGGUGACGGGGGGAGUGGUGAGCGGGCUGGGGAAAGGGGUAACGGCCAGCAGCAUCGGCGUCAUCCUCAAGGCCUGCGGCCUCCGCGUCACCUCCAUAAAAAUCGGUGCUUGCCUCGCCUCCUCCAACUUCACGAUCCUUAUCUGAACACGGAUGCUGGGACGAUGUCUCCGUUUGAGCAUGGGGAAGUCUUUGUCCUAGAUGAUGGUGGUGAGGUGGACUUGGAUCUAGGAAACUACGAACGGUUCCUUGAUAUCAGAUUAACCCGUGACAACAAUAUCACAACCGGAAAAAUCUACCAGUCUGUGAUUGACAGAGAGAGGAGGGGAGACUAUCUGGGGAAAACAGUCCAGGUAUGUGUUUCCUGGAUCCAUCAACCAAUUCCAUGCCAUAAUCUGGAGAUUUUCUUACUAAACCUGAAAUGUUGUUUUUCUCUCCCCCUUUUUUUUUUGUUUAAGGUUGUGCCACAUAUCACAGAUGCUAUACAAGAGUGGAUUGAACGUGUAGCAAUGAUACCUGUGGAUGGUAAAGAAGGACCAGCUGAUGUUUGUGUGAUAGAAUUGGGUGGAACUAUAGGGGAUAUUGAAUCGAUGCCAUUUAUAGAAGCUUUGGGUCAAUUUUCUUGCCGUGUAGGACCUGGUAAUUUCUGUCUGGUUCAUGUUAGUCUUGUGCCAGUUCUUAAAGCAGUUGGGGAGCCGAAAACUAAGCCAACCCAACACAGUGUCAGGGGAUUACGAGGACUUGGGCUCAUUCCAAAUCUUCUAGCCUGCCGCAGCGAUAAGCCGCUGGAUGUAAAUGUUAAAGAAAAACUUUCACAGUUUUGCCAUGUUCCGGUAGCAAAUAUCAUUACUCUUCAUGAUGUUACAAACAUUUGGCACAUUCCUUUGUUGUUGAGGGAACAAAAGGCACAUGAAUCUCUUCUGAAGCUAUUGAACCUUCGAGGAUGUGCUAAAGAACCCAUGCUGGGAGAAUGGAUGGGUCGAGCUAAACUCUGUGAUACAUUGCAUGAUCCUGUCAGGAUUGCUAUGGUAGGAAAAUAUACUGGUCUUCCUGACUCUUACCUCUCUGUAUUGAAGGCCCUUUUGCAUGCUUCAGUUGUGUGUCGAAAAAAACUUGUUAUUGACUGGGUCCCAUCAUCUGAUCUUGAAGAAACUACUGGAAAAGAGGCACCUGAUGCUUACAGAGCAGCAUGGAUGCUAUUGAAGGGUGCAGACGGCAUUCUAGUCCCAGGAGGUUUUGGAGACAGAGGGGUACAGGGAAAAAUUCUAGCUGCAAAAUAUGCCCGUGAAAAUAAUGUUCCGUACCUCGGAAUUUGUCUUGGAAUGCAGAUUUCUGUCAUUGAAUUUGCUAGAUCUGUUAUGAAUUUGAAGGAGGCAAAUAGUACAGAGUUUGAUCCAGUUACAACUUCUCCAGUUGUUAUUUUUAUGCCAGAGGGUUCCAAAACUCACAUGGGAGGUACAAUGAGACUUGGAUUAAGAAGGACUUAUUUUGAGGUUGCUGAUUGCAAAUCUGCAAAGUUGUAUGGCAACGUCCGCUUUGUGGAUGAACGGCAUCGGCAUAGAUAUGAGGUAAAUCCUACUAUGGUUGCGGAAUUUGAAAAGGCUGGUCUUGCUUUUGUUGGUAAGGAUGAGACAGGAAGACGUAUGGAGAUUAUUGAGCUGCCUGCUCAUCCAUACUUUGUCGGUGUGCAAUUUCAUCCGGAAUUCAAGUCCAGACCUGGAAAGCCUUCUGCUGUUUUCUUAGGACUCAUAGCGGCGUCGUGCAGACAACUGGAUUCUUGGCUACAGGCUCGUCCUUCAAGCAAUGGUUUCUUGACCCCCAAAAUCUACCAAAAUGGGAGCCUGAAGAAAUCCCCCAAGAGCCUAGUCAACGGCAAAUCCAUUCAAGCGGCAACGGCGUGCAUGUCUAACGCGUAAACCGGUUUUUCCGUGUGUCGUUCCUUCAUGAUCUUGUGGUUUUUUCUUGUCAGCUUCGUCCUUCCUCAGUCUGAUUUGCUCUGUGCAGUCGUCGUGAGGUGAAAAGGUUCACCGACCGAUGGACUGGUGCUUGUUCCAGUGUUUUAGCAAGGAGCAGCAUUGUGUUCUUGCGGUUUGAUUUCCUUGAGAGAAGAAGAUGAAUACAGCAAGUGCUCUCUCUCUCUCUCUCUCUCCCUCACGUACAUAAGGGGGGGACUGCUUGCCUAGCUUGGUUAAUGUGGCUAAUGAGCCAGUGGAGAAGGGAGGACUGUCAAGCUGCGGCAACUACAAUUCCUCGCCGGAAGGAGGCCAUGGUUCGCAGUGUGGACGGUGGAGGAUGUGCUGCUCGCCGGAAGAGUGCUGGAGACCAACGCUAGAGAGUGUUCCGAAGGAUUAAUCGUUUUGUGAUGACAACAAUAAGAGAGAGUUGACCAGUUGCAUUGA